rnacentral:sRNA from 1 species
AUCUGCGGGGCGGCAGGAGGCCCGAAGCAAGAUGGCGGUGAAUCAGAGCCACACCGCGAACCGCCGCGGGGCCCUCAUCCCUAACGGUGAAAGGUGGCUGGGAAGGACAAGCUACUUUUAAAUUAGUCUUCAGAAAUGGAGGUGCCAUUGAAUUUGCCCAGUUGAUGGUGAGAGCUGCCUCUGCUGCUGCCCGAGGAUUUCCACUUAGAACCUUAAAUGACUGGUUCAGCUCUAUGGGAAUUUAUGUAAUUACUGGGGAAGGGAACAUGUGCACUCCACAGAUGCCUUGUUCAGUUAUUGUCUAUGGAGCCCCACCUGCAGGAUAUGGAGCCCCACCUCCCGGAUACGGAGCCCCACCUGCAGGAUAUGGAGCCCCACCUCCCGGAUAUGGAGCCCCACCUGCAGGAUAUGGAGCCCCACCUCUCGGAUACGGAGCCCCACCU